CUCCUUCGGAUUUCUCUCCUGUUCUACCAACAGAAGAUACUCAAUUGUUACACUGCAUCCUUUUAUAGGCUUGUCUCCAUGUUCUGCCAUUCAGGGUAUGGCUAGGUCUUGUGGAUGCUUUCCUGGAACAUCUGUAAGGCACAUUUGGAAGAUGUAGACUGCUAAGAGACUGCUGAAGAAUCUCAUCUUCACUGCAUGGAGAGGUCUAGAGAUGCCUUGCAGGGACAUCAUCUAUCCAGAAAAUAAUUUUUAAAGUGUUCCCCACAUGAAGAUGCUGAAUAGGAAAAGAACAACAAGG